ACACAGGGAUUGCCUUAGUAACGGCGAGUGAAGCGGCAACAGCUCAAAUUUGAAAGCUGGCCCUUUUAGGGUCCGCGUUGUAAUCUGUAGAGGAUGGUUCGGCGAGGGCUCCCGCCUAAGUCCCCUGGAACGGGGCGUCAUAGAGGGUGAGAAUCCCGUAUGCGGUGGGCUGCCUUAGCCAUGUGAACCUCCUUCGACGAGUCGAGUUGUUUGGGAAUGCAGCUCUAAAUGGGAGGUAAAUUUCUUCUAAAGCUAAAUACCGGCCAGAGACCGAUAGCGCACAAGUAGAGUGAUCGAAAGAUGAAAAGCACUUUGGAAAGAGAGUUAAAAAGUACGUGAAAUUGUUGAAAGGGAAGCGCUUGCAACCAGACUUGUCCGCAGUUGCUCAGCCGGUCUCCUGACCGGCGUACUCUUCUGCGGCCAGGCCAGCAUCAGUUCGGGCGGUCGGAUAAAGGCCUCGGGAAUGUGGCUCCUCUCGGGGAGUGUUAUAGCCCGGGGCGGAAUGCGGCCAGCCUGGACUGAGGAUCUCGCUUCGGCAAGGAUGCUGGCGUAAUGGUUGUAAGCGGCCCGUCUUGAAACACGGACCAAGGAGUCUAACAUCUAUGCGAGUGUUUGGGUGUCAAACCCAUACGCGUAAUGAAAGUGAACGGAGGUGGGAACCCGCAAGGGCGCACCAUCGGCCGAUCCUGAUGUCUUCGGAUGGAUUUGAGCAAGAGCAUAGCUGUUGGGACCCGAAAGAUGGUGAACUAUGCCUGAAUAGGGUGAAGCCAGAGGAAACUCUGGUGGAGGCUCGCAGCGGUUCUGACGUGCAAAUCGAUCGUCAAAUUUGGGUAUAGGGGCGAAAGACUAAUCGAACC
rnacentral:rRNA from 1 species